AUGAAACAUCUGAACGUGAAGCUGAAAAGAACACCAGUGUCGUCACAUGUGAUGCUACCGGCUCAUGAGUGUGAGACUCCGCCAAACCACCCUACACUGACCAGAUCUGGACUGCAGAAGAGUCACAUAGCUGGAGGGCUUUCUACGGUGAAGGGGGCAGGACUCGUGCCGCACACAUAUACACAAACACGUGUUCCUGUCCGUUCAAAGGUGAGUAUUCUCAGGGCAAGGGUUACUUACUUCAACACACACAUACACACCCAUCCAUGUUGGCGACGGUUUAUCAGGGAAAGUGGAGCUCUCCUCUCCUGCGGAGCUCAUCUGUUCCUGUGCCACCCUGCAAACCCCCUGUAGACAUUAGUGGGCUUUCCACACUCCCCACCCAAGGGGCAGGUGGAACACACACAUUCGCACUAACCAAACACCUCCUACUGAGUGGCAUUGAAUAGGACAGCUGCCCAGGAGGUUAGGGCCAACUGCUUUAUGUGUAAUGCAGCCACCAUCAAAGCCAGUUGUUUUGAAGAGACAGGAUGUGAGGCAGGAUGUCCAGAUUAAAUAACAGACCUAUUAAUGUCAACCUGACAACAGCGCAAGAGAGGAGAAAACUCUUCAGAACUUUAGCUGUCAUAAUUCGAUACACCAACGGAACAAUGCUUUUUGAUUUCAGAUAAAAUAAUCCUGAAGUCAUGCGGAUCUGUGAAGAAUUCAUUGGCUUUUUAUGCACAGUCAUAUAUAUACAAUAUCAGUGUUCCUGUGCGGCGUGUGUUCACAGGGUGUAUGGUGUGGGAACGGAGAUAGGGGAGAUCCCUGUGUUGUUCACGGCCCGGGCGGGCGGGUUGUCAGGGACGGGCCCGGGUGAUGAAGCCUGUGAGGAGUUUGCAGAGCUGUUCCACUCAACAAUGGUAAGAAUCGUCAGAUCUUUGCCAUCAGAACAGACUUUGCGAUCCGAGAGAUUCUUCAGGAAUUCUUACCCGUCUUUCUAUCUCAUAUCUGUGUCGUGGAUCACCUCUGGACAUUUUCCCAAACCCUUUCUGGAAUUUAUUUUCAGUGCUAUAAGAAAAACAAUGAUGAAGACACACACUGAGAAAGUCUUUGUGAUACCUUCAGCAAGCACAUAUAGUGGAGCAGAUGGUGGCCCUCAUUGGAGCUUUUCCCCUGUUUGGCGCCUCUCUGCAGAAGCCUUUCAGGGAGUACCUUGAGGCCCAGAGGGCAAAAUUACAACACCGGGCAGCGCGCAGAAGAGGCCACCCCAAUCGUAAGUCCCAUCACUCAUCUCUUUCGUUCAACCUUUAAAUUUGCCUCAAUCCCAGACGUGGCUUUUGUAUUUUUGUAUAUUUUUCCUCCAUUCCUCCUUUUAAUUUAUUACGCGCACCCCUAUUUCUUUUUUGUUCCACAUCCUAAUUACCUCCCUGCCCUAAUUAUCGCUUCGAGACUGGUUUUAUUCUACCGUGUGAUUCUGUUGAGGUGUUAUUGUUUGCAUGUGGUAGACCAUAGUGUCAGGGGCUCCGCGUGGGCCGUGCGGUGGUUGGUUGCGGGGGCCUGUUCAGGGUCUGGCUGAGGAGAGAUGCUGAGUCAUACUCCGAGCUCUUUGAGUGAACCGGACACUCCCCCGCGUCACACUAAACCCCCCGAACCCUGUUGAACCAGCGCAGGCUGCCGGAGACGGGAGGGGCCCCUGGGAGUAAAAGAAGAAGGAGGAGGGUUGGGGGACGUUGGGAAGGGAAGCAGGAGGAGGGGAGAGGUUGAGGCUGUACUCUCGAUUCCUGCCACCGCUGUUCCCUCACAAGUGCGCACGGAAACAAAGAGCUACACCUUUUUUUUUUUUUACCUUCGUCUGCCCGUGUGCAAAUCAUCUAAAGUGUGUUUCAUCUAAAGCGCUUUUCCAGCUCGUGUGCAUGCGUGCGUACGUGUGGGAGGAGGAAAUGAAAGAGAGAGAUAGAGAGAAAGAAAGAGAUGAAGUUGCACAAUGAGAGAUUACGGAUGUUUCUGGAACAAUGUUCCUUUUUUCUGGUAACUUGAACCUCCUGCGGUUACUUAAGGAAAGCUGCGGGCUUGUUCAACCGGUAGGAAGUAACGAUGCCACCGUGCGCGUGUCACUAACGUAAAUCUUGUUUUAAAGAUACAGGGAGAGAUUGGAGGGAAAUGCAUGUGGAGUUGAGUGAUUGCUUAACCUGAGAUGUUUCUGACGAGUUAAUGCAUUGAUGAUUAAGCAUAAUUGACUGUCUUUUUCUCCUUACAGGUUUUAGAAGAUGGUGAUCAGCAUGGUUUGUUGCAUCAUAAACUUAUGGCUUCCAACAAAUGUAAAGCAAAACUAAAUCAAGAAACCGAUUUUAACCUAAAAUCGAAUAGCUUCCUCAAUCUCAUGAGAGCUGCUGUUAGAAUAAUAGGUUUAUUUUUCUCAAUUUUCUUUGAGGGUUCUUUUGUAACAUGGCUAUCGGUUAACAUUUUUACUUUUUAAUGUGCUUGCUUAGCUUGGUGGUUUGUGCUGAGAUACUCAUGUUCUCAGCUCUGUCUUGCACAGGUUAACUGAUCCCAUUGAUUGAGAUGUUAAGGUGCACUGUGGCUUAUGUUGCGUGUGGUCUAUUACAUUUAAGGGACAGACUGCAUUAAUUUAGUUUUCAAAUGCGUUGUUAGUCACUUUAUGUGCUUUGAAAUUCAGCAUAUAACCAAUUCACAGCGCUCAUAUCAUUUUUUUAGAAUUUGAAUUCUUUCAAGUUUCAGAAUUUGAAUUUAGGUAGCUAUAAAAGGAAGUUAAUGUAAGGAAACGCUGACUCUAAAGUCGCUAUAAGAUGUUAUGCAUAUUGACUAGUGCUUGCGUUACAUUACUACUUCUGAGGAAAGCUCGUCUUGCGCUCUAAAAGCUUGGUGAAUCAUAAUGUUCCUUUCGUCUAGAGAUAUUGUUUUGUUUCCCGAGAUCCAAAGAGGAGAGGGAGAGGGAGAAGGAGAGAGCGAGUGAGUGUGUGUGUGUGUGUGUGUGUGUGUGUAACCACAUGACUCACUACAGGGCCACUCCACCAGAUGCAAUAACGCAUUCAAUCAGAUUAUGAAGCGCGUGUGUUCGGGCACAUAUGUGCGUGGGCGGCUGCCACAUUUCGCGCGUAGCUCCUUAACGCUCAUAUUCUAUACAUCGGAAGAGCAUCCGGUCAUGCUGGAGGAUGCCCGCUGCUAGAUUGGAUUUGACUAACAGAUUGUCUGUCAAUUUGAAAGGUUAGUGUCUUGCCUCUUUUACAGUGUCGAGUAGUUUCAGUUUAAAACGCUGAAGCAUUUUUAGACGCUAGCGCCGUGGUGGUCCCCCAAAACGGCACAUUUUGUACGUCUCCUUAGUCUAGUACACUUGAUUCAACUCAUUAGAGGCUCCGUGUCCUGAAAUGGGUGUGUCAGAUCUAAAAUGUAGAGUGUCGGGGGCCACCGGGACCAGAUUGAGAACCACUACGUUACACUGGUGGCAUAACAAAAGGCAGCUAACGUCUUGUCCGUCGCUUCUUUUCGCGUCUUUUUUUCUUUUAAUUGCUUGUGAAAUUAUUUUUCGGUGCCUUUUUGUAACGCUGCCCUUGUAUGUGAUUCUGGAAGCUGCAGGCGUAUAAAAAAACGGAACCGUGUGGAUUUUCUUUUGCCGUUACCUUAAACGAACCCUCCGCUGAACUCAAUGCACUCGCUGCUGGCGUAGAGGAUGAGAGGCAGCAGUGUUGCCAGAUCUCGUGAAGAAAGCAGGCCAAUGGAAACGCUGGAAUUUAUUGAUCAGCAUGAAACAUUUAGAUUACGGAGAUUUAAAAUAUAUAAAAUUAAAUUAAAAUAAACCGAUUUUAUGACAUUAAUGACUAAUUAAC
ensembl:lncRNA